GUCUCAAGCCAUCCUGUUAAAGGGAAAGAGAAGUAAUUUUAUUAUAUUACAAUAUCUGACCAUAUUAUGAGGUGAAAGCAUAGAGUCUCACUUUGACGAUCAUCUAGUAAUUCCCUCUAGCUGGAGAAACUCUGCUUACUGAAAUCAUCUUGAACCACUCAGCAUGGCCCAGGGGUCACCCCACUGUUAGGGCCUGAGCCUCCGUGGGCAGUCCCUCACAUCCCCUCUCCUGCCUGCCCCUGUUUGAGGCGCCAAAAGCCUUGGUGCUCAGUAGUCUUCUAGUAAUAUGCAGUUUUCCCU
rnacentral:lncRNA from 1 species